AACCCAGGAGCCGGUUCCCAGCCUCCAGCCGCGCGCCUGCCGGAAGAGGGGAGAGAAAGGAGGGGUAAAACCCUUCACGCGCCUGCGCUCAGCAGCCUGCCGGCUCAGCCAAGGAGAGCUCUGCCCGCGGCUCACUCCCCACCUACUCGCGUCUCGCGUCUCGCGCCACGCGGACCCCAGAAACCCGGACCCGAGAGCGAACGCGUCGCGCUCCCGCGCAGACUUAAGGUCCCGGGCGGGCGCCUGCGCACGAGCUUCCCAGGCGCGCAAGCUGCGGGGUUAUUAGAGGUGGAGCGCGGGGAGGGCGCGCGGCAGGAGGCGGUCGCCGUUACGGCGCGAGCGUGGUCACGUGGCCGCUGGUCACCGCCGCCACCCCCUCCCGCCCUGUUCUCUUUCAGGUCGGGCCGGGCCCGGCAGGUUCCGCGAGCGCCUGGCAGACUGAGGGAGAGAGAGAGAGAGAAAGAGGAGGGGAGGAGGAGGAUUCAGGGAAUAGGAGCUGGGGAGCCCUUCUGCGCCACAGGUAGGGAUCAGGAAGUACAAGUGAAAUGGUUCAGUUUUGGGAACAUUUUCUGUAUAUGGAUGUGUCUCAUACAGGAAGUGUUUUCCUUUGAUUUAUAUACAUGGAUUUAG
rnacentral:lncRNA from 13 species